CACGCUGUAAACUAUGGAUACUAGGUGUAGGGGGUCAGACCUCUGUGCCGGAGUUAACGCAUUAAGUAUCCCGCCUGGGGACUACGGCCGCAAGGCUGAAACUCAAAGGAAUUGACGGGGACCCGCACAAGCAGCGGAGCAUGUGGUUUAAUUCGAAGCAACGCGAAGAACCUUACCAGUCCUUGACAUCCCUCUGCAGGCAGCUAGAGAUAGCAGUCGUUACCCUUCGGGGUACAGAGGUGACAGGUGG
rnacentral:rRNA from 1 species